GACCAGACUCCUACGGGAGGCAGCAGUGGGGAAUAUUGCACAAUGGGGGGAACCCUGAUGCAGCGACGCCGCGUGAGUGAAGAAGUAUUUCGGUAUGUAAAGCUCUAUCAGCAGGGAAGAAAAUGACAGUACCUGACUAAGAAGCCCCGGCUAACUACGUGCCAGCAGCCGCGGUAAUACGUAGGGGGCAAGCGUUAUCCGGAUUUACUGGGUGUAAAGGGAGCGUAGACGGCUGCGCAAGUCAGAAGUGAAAGCCCGGGGCUCAACCGCGGGACUGCUUUUGAAACUGUGUAGCUAGAGUGCAGGAGAGGUAAGUGGAAUUCCUAGUGUAGCGGUGAAAUGCGUAGAUAUUAGGAAGAACACCAGUGGCGAAGGCGGCUUUCUGGACUGAAACUGACGCUGAGGCACGAAAGCGUGGGGAGCGAACAGGAUUAGAUACCCCAGAAA
rnacentral:rRNA from 1 species